CCAAAUGGGUGGUAAACAUCACCUAAGGCUAAAUAUUGGCGAGAGACCGAUAGCGAACAAGUACCGUGAGGGAAAGAUGAAAAGAACUUUGAAAAGAGAGUUAAACAGUACGUGAAAUUGUUGAAAGGGAAACGAUUGAAGUCAGUCGUGCUGGCGCGAAAUCAACCUUCUCGUCUUGAGAUCACAUGGCGUGGCGAGCCUCAAAACCGUCACGAAGCGUGAACUCUUGGUGAAAUGGAGCACUUUCGUGUCCGCUGGUUAACAUCAAUUUCGAACGUCAUAAAAAGGCUGGAGGGAUGUGGCUCCUUCGGGAGUGUUAUAACCUUUAGCGGAAUGUGGUGUUCGGGAUUGAGGAUUGCAACGAAUACCCUUAGGGCUGUUCCACCUGGCUUCUCUUUGGUAUCCUAGUGACGACAGCUUGCUGACGUUGUUAGGAUUCGCCUUUGAACAGGCUAGAGUGUGAGCAAA
rnacentral:rRNA from 1 species